rfam:TPA: Bos taurus chromosome 28, whole genome shotgun sequence.
UCCCCGGCAGUCCAGUGGUUAGGACCCUGCAUUUCCACUUCAGAGGCACAGGUUCGAUCCCUGGUCAGGGAA